rnacentral:rRNA from 1 species
GACGAACGCUGGCGGCGUGCUUAACACAUGCAAGUCGAACGGAAAGGCCCUGCUUUUGUGGGGUGCUCGAGUGGCGAACGGGUGAGUAACACGUGAGUAACCUGCCCUUGACUUUGGGAUAACUCCAGGAAACUGGGGCUAAUACCGGAUAGGAGCUCCUGCUGCAUGGUGGGGGUUGGAAAGUUUCGGCGGUUGGGGAUGGACUCGCGGCUUAUCAGCUUGUUGGUGGGGUAGUGGCUUACCAAGGCUUUGACGGGUAGCCGGCCUGAGAGGGUGACCGGCCACAUGGGGACUGAGAUACGGCCCAGACUCCUACGGGAGGCAGCAGGGGGGAAUAUUGCGCAAUGGGCGGAAGCCUGAUGCAGCAACGCCGCGUGCGGGAUGACGGCCUUCGGGUUGUAAACCGCUUUCGCCUGUGACGAAGCGUGAGUGACGGUAAUGGGUAAAGAAGCACCGGCUAACUACGUG